rnacentral:rRNA from 1 species
CUUUACUGUAACCUGGAAUUGGGUUCGGGCUUUGCUUGCGCAGGAUAGGUGGGAGGCGUUGAGAUAUUCCUUGUGGGGAAUGUGGAGCCAACGGUGAGAUACCACUCUGGUGAGGCUAGAAUUCUAACCCGAUGCCGUGAACCGGCUCGGGAACAGUUUCAGGCGGGCAGUUUGACUGGGGCGGUCGCCUCCUAAAAGGUAACGGAGGCGCGCAAAGGUUCUCUCAGGCUGGUUGGAAAUCAGCCGUAGAGUGUAAAGGCAAAAGGGAGCUUGACUGCAAGACCCACAAGUCGAACAGGGUGGAAACACGGCCUUAGUGAUCCGACGGCGCUGCGUGGAAAGGCCGUCGCUAAACGGAUAAAAGUUA